rnacentral:rRNA from 1 species
GACGAACGCUGGCGGCGUGCUUAACACAUGCAAGUCGAACGGAAAGGCCCUGCUUUUGUGGGGUGCUCGAGUGGCGAACGGGUGAGUAACACGUGAGUAACCUGCCCUUGACUUUGGGAUAACUUCAGGAAACUGGGGCUAAUACCGGAUAGGAGCUCCUGCUGCAUGGUGGGGGUUGGAUAGUUUCGGCGGUUGGGGAUGGACUCGCGGCUUAUCAGCUUGUUGGUGGGGUAGUGGCUUACCAAGGCUUUGACGGGUAGCCGGCCUGAGAGGGUGACCGGCCACAUUGGGACUGAGAUACGGCCCAGACUCCUUCGGGAGGCAGGAGGGGGGAAUAAUGCACAAUGGGCGGAAGCCUGAUGCAGCAACGCCGCGUGCGGGAUGACGGCCUUCGGGGUGGAAACCGCUUUCGCCUGUGACGAAGCGGGAGGGACGGGAAUGGGUAGAGAAGGAACGGCUAAAUACGGG